UCCCGCUUGACGCGGGCAGUCCCCCUAGAGUGCCCACCCGAGGUGCUGGCAACUAAGGGCAAGGGUUGCGCUCGUUGCGGGACUUAACCCAACAUCUCACGACACGAGCUGACGACAGCCAUGCAGCACCUGUCUCUCGGCUCCCGAAGGCACCCCCACAUCUCUGCAGGGUUCCGUACAUGUCAAGGGUAGGUAAGGUUAUUCGCGUUGCAUCGAAUUAAUCCACAUCAUCCACCGCUUGUGCGGGCCCCCGUCAAUUCCUUUGAGUUUCAACCUUGCGGUCGUACUCCCCAGGCGGGGUACUUCCUGCGUUAGCGCCGGCACCCAGAGGGUCGCUCCCCCAGGCACCUAGUACCCAUCGUUUACGGCGUGGACUAC
rnacentral:misc_RNA from 1 species